CUCACUAGAAGGAAAUGUAUGGCGAAAGUUUGUUCCGACGUCCAGAUAAACGAUUUUAGCGAGAGAUUUUCGCUUUUUCGCCGCUCUUUUAUCAGAAAUUGAUUUGGGUAAUGCUGAUACAAGGGAGGCGCUCCCUCUCGGGUACUGUAAUCAUUGGUUCCAUGGAUACCACCAUGUUUGGAUGUAACACCGUCUCGAUAUCUUCGCGGAUUUCCAGCCCAGCUUCACGUCCGUAAUAAUGAGAAAGAACGCCGAAGGAAUGACCGUAUCCAAACGUACGAUAUUUCAGCAAAUCGUGUUCGAGAGAAAGGACUGGAACCUAAUGAAGCCAGACCUGUCGAUUCCGAGAUUACCGCACAAAGCAUUGGACCUCGGAGUCUUCCGUUGUAAAUAAAGUCUUUUAAAUCAAAGCUAUAUGAUUUAUACUCGAGUAAUUACUGCGCUUGGCCCUCUGUCGCAAGUGUCCCAGAUAGCAGACACCUGACGUUAAGCAGAUUGCAUAAAAAAUUUUAAACAACAACUUACCCAG